GGACAGAUGGCCGAGCGGUCUAAGGCGCCAGCUUCAGGAGGUCACGUGACUUGCGAUAUUCUCACCAAAUAUCAGUUUCAUGUCAUUCAUGCUGGUCUAGUAAUAGGCGUGGGUUCGAAUCCCACUCUGUUCA